UACGUAGGGUGCAAGCGUUGUCCGGAAUUAUUGGGCGUAAAGAGCUCGUAGGCGGUUUGUUGCGUCGGCUGUGAAAUCCCGAGGCUCAACCUCGGGUCUGCAGUCGAUACGAGCAAACUAGAGUGUUGCAGGGGAGACUGGAGUUCCUGGUGUAGCGGUGAAAUGCGCAGAUAUCAGGAAGAACACCCGUGGCGAAGGCGGCUCUCUGGGACGGUACUGACGCUGAGACGCGAAAGCGUGGGGAGCGAACAGG
rnacentral:rRNA from 1 species